CCCAGGUAGCUCAGUCGGUAGAGCAGAGGACUGAAAAUCCUCGUGUCGGUGGUUCGAUUCCACCCCUGGG
rnacentral:tRNA from 2 species